rnacentral:rRNA from 1 species
GCAAGUUCGAACGGAAAGGCCCUGCUUUUGUGGGGUGCUCGAGUGGCGAACGGGUGAGUAACACGUGAGUAACCUGCCCUUGACUUUGGGAUAACUUCAGGAAACUGGGGCUAAUACCGGAUAGGAGCUCCUGCUGCAUGGUGGGGGUUGGAAAGUUUCGGCGGUUGGGGAUGGACUCGCGGCUUAUCAGCUUGUUGGUGGGGUAGUGGCUUACCAAGGCUUUGACGGGUAGCCGGCCUGAGAGGGUGACCGGCCACAUUGGGACUGAGAUACGGCCCAGACUCCUACGGGAGGCAGCAGUGGGGAAUAUUGCACAAUGGGCGGAAGCCUGAUGCAGCAACGCCGCGUGCGGGAUGACGGCCUUCGGGUUGUAAACCGCUUUCGCCUGUGACGAAGCGUGAGUGACGGUAAUGGGUAAAGAAGCACCGGCUAACUACGUGCCAGCAGCCGCGGUGAUACGUAGGGUGCGAGCGUUGUCCGGAUUUAUUGGGCGUAAAGGGCUCGUAGGUGGUUGAUCGCGUCGGAAGUGUAAUCUUGGGGCUUAACCCUGAGCGUGCUUUCGAUACGGGUUGACUUGAGGAAGGUAAGGGAGAAUGGAAUUCCUGGUGGAGCGGUGGAAUGCGCAGAUAUCAGGAGGAACACCAGUGGCGAAGGCGGUUCUCUGGGCCUUUCCUGACGCUGAGGAGCGAAAGCGUGGGGAGCGAACAGGCUU